AAAUAUUUUAUCAAAAUCAUUGGCGUUUCGCAAUUUAGGCGAAAAAGCCGAAAUUAUGGAGCAUGAAAGCCUCCACGGCUGACACUAUCUACGGAGAUGGCCAACAAUUGUAUGUGUAAAAUAAUUAAACUAUUUGUGCAACGUUAAUGAAUUUGUUUACAUGCCCGCGGUGCAGUGGAAUUUUUCAUCUUAGUGGAAAAUCCAUUCAAUCUACUGGAAAAGCUUUAUGCAAAAAAAAAGAGGAGAAGCAAAAAAAAACCAUUUAAAUCACACGGAGCAAAAUGUGGCAGAGAAAAACCCGUUUAAUGAUUAAUCACACGAGCAUGCGAUCGGGAGAGCGAUAGAGAGGGAGAGAAAGAGAUCUCGCAAAGCGCGGUACAAAUGUCAGAGACAGCGAACAUCAAUCUCCAGCGGCGGCCAGAAAGAGCCAGGCAACCUGGCCACAUGGUGGUGGUGGCAAAGUCAACGAGUUCUUUGGUUGCCACAAAAGGAAAAAGCAUUAGAGCCACAAGCCGCUGCUGCUCCACCGACAGAGUGGGGGAACGAUGGGAAAACCGGCUAAAAGGUGGCCAAAUGCGUUAGCCAUCGUUUUGGUUGUUUUUUUUUUAUUGGGUUUGUUGUUGUUGCAGUGUUGCUGUAACGUUGCAGCAAAACUACAGUUGGGUUCAUAACCUCAUUUCAAAUUGGCAAACAGGUGCGACACAAAUCGUGUAUGUCCACUACACUCCACCCCAAUCCGAUCCACUCCAACCCUCUCCACGUCUGACUCCUGCCACGUUGUAAUGUAAGAUGAUGAUACGCUGAGGCAAACAGCCAUUGGGUUAAGUGACAAAAAAUAUAUAUAAAUAGCCAAAGCACUUUAGGGGGUUCAAAGAAGACUUUAGAAGAAACUUUAGAGAACAUUAAAAAAGUGCUUAGAAUAUUGC
rnacentral:lncRNA from 1 species